ensembl:lncRNA
UGUUUUUGUUUCUAUUUUCUUCUUCUGUCUUAAAAAGUUGAUGGUCGAUGCAUUUUUGAAAAUUAGAGAAAUGAAGCAUGUGUUUAAUUACUGCACUAAGUGCUUCAGUUGAAGUGAACAGACUUGAAGAUUUUGGCCUUCACCCAUGCCUUGGUUUCCUCAUCUGCAAAAUAAACAGAUUUAUACUUCUGAAACAGAGAUAGUUAAAAUAUUUUAUGUUGUCAAGUGUUAGAGAUGCUCAUAAGGAUGAUGCAGGAUGAGUAAAGUAUUUAAUAUCUUUUAUUGCAAGCACAAAACAAAUAUUUUUCAACUGUAUUAUUAUUAUACCUGUUGCAUAAAUCCUUUAAGUAAUAAAGUCAGAUGGCAUUAUUCUGCUUUACUGUGGCUACUGUGCUUUAAUGCCUUUAACAGAAUAGCAUAAUGGCAGCAUUACUAUUGCUCCAUACUACCAUAUGAACUCAUUCCAUCACUUUAAGAUGCUCUUUGAGUAACUGCUCUGUCCUAUUUCCUCUUCUUAACCUCCAUAUCUUUGUUUUGUACUGACCCUGUAAUCUGUCAAAGUGAUUGCUACUGGAGAUGUAUUGCAAACUGGAGUAAUAGUCUGCUGAAUGCUGUAUAUUACUUAUACAUUUGUAUAUAUAUUGAAAACUGUAUAACUAUAUAUACUUACAUACUCAUGUAUACACAUCCUGGCAGUGAUUAAUUUCAAUUCUUAUUCUGUGCAUUAGACAUACAUGCAAUAAAAUAAUAUUAUAUAUAUAUAUAAUAUAAAAUAAUAACAGCAACCCAGGAAAAUAGUAUAUAAUUAAUUAGGGAAAGCACCAUGUAAUCUGCAACUCAUAAAAACUUCCUCUGUAAGCCUCCCACAGUAAUCUUUACAUUCAAAAACAAGCAUUUGUGCUACUGCAUUAAAAGACCAGGCUGGUGGCAGUACAGGAUGGUGGUAUUCAGAUUUGAAAUUCUUGACUGGUGAAUCAGCUCCUACUAAUUUGUAUAUAAAAAGAUAGAAAUGACACUUGCAGUUAGUAUCUUGUUAGAGAAAAAAUCUUGCAUUAUUCUUCAGUUACUUCUUUC